CUAACAUAAUGUUCUUUUGCAGGUAAAACAUACUAGGAGUAAGAGGGAGAGCCUGAUAUUGGAUGGAGAUACGGCUGACUAUUCCCAAUACUCGAUUCGGUGGAGCUAUCCAGAAUGGAAAAUGAUUGUCUACCACUGAUUUUUGUAUAACUAUUAACUUGUAGGCAGUUAUCUGUUUGGAUGGUGAUGGUUGCAAGUUAAGAAGUGGACUGGUGAAAAUUGAGGAAGGUUUAACUCUUGACACAUUAAUUGCUUGUGACUCAUGUGAUCUUUGGGAAGGCUUCCUUUUAUGGAACCAAGACGAAAGGUGGAUAAAGCCCAAGUAUUGAAGAGGUGUUGCUAUAGAGUUAAAUGUUUUGUGGAAACUGAUGCUGGUUUCUGUCCAACACGGCUGAAGCUGCUUGUCUCUAUUUGUUUUUUCCUCUUAGCAAUGAAAUUCUUUACCUAUGAAGAAAAAAAGGAAAAAAAAAAAGAAAAAGAAAAAGAAUAUGUAUCAAUAAUGACACUUUCUUCCUGGAGAUUACUUUUCAGGAGUUACUCUAGCAGUUACUGAAAAAGAAGAAGCAGGAGCACAAUGGACAGGAAUUGUAACAACCAUUGCAGUGGAAAUGCUGAAAGCAAAUAUUGUAGAUGUUGUCAUUUGUGUGCAGAGGUGAUAGCAGUGUUUUAUUUUAGUAGAUCAAAGAAUAAAGGUUGCUGGUUAUUAGCUGACAGUUAGUUAUUUCUUUAUUGUGUCUUUUUAGUGAUCCAGAGGACAGACUUACUCCAAAGCCAGUCUUGGCCAGGUAUGUAAACUGCAUUUGAACUGAAAUGCUGACUAUGCCACAUGUGAUCUAAGUGAAGGUAUCACUAAUACCAUCCCUUAAAAAUAAUAAGUUCCAAGAAUGCAAAAUGCUAAUUCAACUGAGUUAACUCAGGGGUACAAUGAAUCCAUGGUAUGUUCUAUUUGAAUAACAUGCAUGGGUCUC